GGUUCGGUGUAGCCGGCCCGCCACGGUUGCCGUGUGUGAGUGCCGGACUGCUUGCCGAGCCAUCCUUCUAGUCCUGCCUGGUGCGCGCUGCUUCACUGCAGCCGCGCCAGUCGCAGCUAGAUCGUUUACUUUGAAAAAAUUAGAGUGUUUAAAGCAGGCUCCUGUCAGCUAUGAAUACAUUAGCAUGGAAUAAUAAGUUAGGACUUUGGUUCAAUUUUGUUGGUUUGUUUGCGGACCGAAGUA
rnacentral:rRNA from 1 species